rnacentral:lncRNA from 1 species
GCAGCCUCUGUUGUGGAAGGCAUCUGUGAAAUCCCAACUCAGCAGUGCAGAAACUCAUCAUUGAUAUGAAAAAAAGUUUAUAAACAGCAGGAACAGUGAGUGGUGAUGGAAAAGUGAAAGUGAAUGUUAAAUGGACAGAUCUUUUUUCAUCAGCUUUUGGAACAUUCUUCCUGACUACCUUGGAGCAAAUUGGAAAGGUGGAUCUAUAUGNGAGGCCACACAGCCCUCUGGUGUACUGGCCUGAAAUACAAU